GACGAAGGGGGCUAGCGUUGUUCGGAAUUACUGGGCGUAAAGCGAGUGUAGGCGGUUGUUCAAGUCAGGUGUGAAAGCCUUGAGCUCAACUCAAGAAAUGCACUUGAUACUGGAUGACUAGAGGACCGGAGAGGAUAGUGGAAUUCCACGUGUAGCAGUGAAAUGCGUAGAGAUGUGGAGGAACACCGAUGGCGAAGGCAGCCCCCUGGGCUAACACUGACGCUCAGGCACGAAAGCGUGGGGAGCAAACGGG
rnacentral:rRNA from 1 species